rnacentral:rRNA from 1 species
UCGCGCUCAACGUGAAGGCGUCUAAGAGAUACCGGCAGUCUUGGAACUGGGAGAGGUAAACCGUACUUCGGGGGUAGGAGUGAAAUCUUGUAAUCCUCGAGGGACGAGUAUGGCGAAGGCAGUUUACCAGAACAGCUUCGACAGUGAGGGACGAAAGCUGGGGGAGCAAACGGGAUUAGAUACCCCGGUAGUCCCAGCCGUAAACAAUGUGCGUUAGGUGUGUCGGUAACCACGUGUUACUGAUGCGCCGAAGAGAAAUCGUGAAACGCACCACCUGGGAAGUACGGUCGCAAGGCUGAAACUUAUCGGAAUUGGGCGGGGGAGCACCACAACAGGUGGAGCCUGCGGUUUAAUUGGAUUCAACGCCGGACAUCUCACCGGAUAAGACAGCUGAAUGAUUGUCAAUCUGAAGGUUUUACAUGACUAGCUGAGAGGAGGUGCAUGGCCGUCGUCAGUUCGUACUGUGAAGCAUCCUGUUAAGUCAGGCAACGAGCGAGACCCACGCCGACAAUUGCCAGCAGCAUCUCCGGAUGGCUGGGGACAUUGUCGGGACCGCCUCUGCUAAAGGGGAGGAAGGAAUGGGCAACGGUAGGUCAGCAUGCCCCGAAUUAUCCGGGCUACACGCGGGCUACAAUGGACGGGACAAUGGGUAACAACACCGAAAGGUGCAGUCAAUCUCCGAACCCCGCCCUUAGUUAGGAUUGCGGGUUGCAACUCACCC